AACGAACGCUGGCGGCGUGCCUAACACAUGCAAGUCGAACGAGAAAGGGGCUUCGGCUCCGAGUAAAGUGGCGCACGGGUGAGUAACACGUGGGUAACCUGCCUCUAAGAUUGGGAUAACUCGUCGAAAGAUGAGCUAAUACCGAAUAAGACCACAGUUCCCGCGGGAACAGGGGUCAAAGGUAGCCUCUGCUUGCAAGCUAUCACUUAGAGAUGGGCCUGCGCACCAUUAGCUAGUUGGUAGGGUAACGGCCUACCAAGGCAAAGAUGGUUAGCUGGUCUGAGGGGAUGGUCAGCCGCACUGGAAAUGAGGCAAGGUCCAGACUCCUACGGGGGGCAGCAGUGGGGAAUAUUGCGGAAUGGGCGAAAGGUUUACGGAGCAACGCCGCGUGAGUGAUGAAGGCCUUCGGGUCGUAAAGCUCUGUCGGGAGGAGCGAAUGCUCCUGAGGUUAACAGCCUCGGGAGGUGACGGUACCUUCAAAGGAAGCACCGGCUAACUCUGUG
rnacentral:rRNA from 1 species